UCAGCCAUUCAGGGGGACUUUGGUAAAUGAUUUAUCUUGGUGGCAGGAGGCCUUAGAUGUGGGGUUAAAUCUGUCUCCAGUUCUUCUGGAAAGCCAGAGCCUUUCCAGAAGCCUUCUUGAGUUCCCUGACUGCCUGUCACAGGGAUGUCAGAAAAGCUCCCUCUUCUCAAGAUCGAUGGCUAAGGACAGACCCAAGUGGACCUUUCCAAUCCACUCCCUCAAAAUGCGGACAUCACAAAGUGAAGACUUUGGCAGCAGAAGAAAGAACAGCCUUGAUUUCCAGAGUUGCCCGGGAGGUGGUCAUCGACGGACGAGGUAGCUCCCUGGGAGUGCCAGCAGAAAGGGAACAGGGCAGCUUGGUUUUCGUGGUGGCACCCAGAGUCUGCAGUGUGGCCUCACCUGUUUGGCCCUUAGUUUGCUCAUGUGUAAACGAGGCAAUCUCUCGUCUAAUCCGAUGAAUGAAUCCCUGCAAACCUUCGGUGUGAAAUAUUUCAUGCACAACACAGGGUGGCUGGCCAUCUUUGAACAUGAUCAAGAAACAUGCUGGAUGCAGGAGCAAGGAAGCCAAAGACAGACUGAGAGCACAGUCAUGGAGAUGAGGCAGGAGAAGGGAGGGGCUGAGGCCGGAGCACCAAGUGCCGAGACCCAACCCUUCCCGCCACCUCAUCCGGGCGUUUCUGUGGUUCAGUGUCCACAGUUCCUGUGUGCCGUGCACCUGGGACCACACAGUUAAAACCUGAGUCCUUCAUCGCCCUGAGCAAGCACGCAUGGACGCAAGCAUGCUCACAAGCAUACCCGCACACCCCACCCCAGGGUAGAUGUCCAAAGAUCCACUCCUUGGAACCCACUGGAUCAAGAAGCUUCCUUUCCACAGACCCUGAGAAUCUGCUGAUGGAGCCAUGCUUCCCCAAGCUCAGAAUGCCCGUCACCAGCUCUGCGGGAUGUAGGGGGCCCGUCGAGAGGAGCUGAGACGGGGCAGGAGGCUAGCCCUCCCAACUCCUUCUUUUUCCAAGCCUGCAAAUUCCAGCAAGGCCUGAUAGCAGGGAGGACUCUGCAGCUAAUGAGGGAAGCUUGGCUCUUGCCCUGUUUCCCUGUCUGGGUCUCAUCAUCAUUGUCAAAGAGCCUUAUCUGCCCCAGCAUUCUAUCCCAAUUAAAAAAACCAGCUCAGUUUACA